rnacentral:rRNA from 1 species
GAUGAACGCUGGCGGCGUGCCUAAUACAUGCAAGUCGAACGAACAGACGCGGACUUUGCUCCUCUCACGUUAGCGGCGGGCGGGUGUGUAACACGGGGGUAACCUCCCUCUCUUACUGAGAUAACUUCGGGAAACCGGCGAUUAUACCGGAUAAUCUCUUGUACCGCAGGGUGCAAUAGUGAAAUACGGUUUUGGUUUCGCUUAUAGAUUAUUCCGCGGCUCUUUGGUGAAUUGGUAAGGUAACGGCUUACCAAGGCCGCGAUGGGCAGCCGACCCGUGCGGGUGUUGGGCCACACUGGGAGUGAGCCACGGUACAGACUCCUACGGGAGGCAGCGACAGGGACUCGUCCGAACUGGGGGGAAGCUUGCCGGAGCAACGCCGGCUGAGUGCUGAAGGUCUUCGGAUCGUAAGACUCUGUUAGGGUUGAAGAACAAAUGCGUAAGUAACUAUGCACGUCUUGACGGUACCUAAUCAGAAAGCCACGGCUAACUACGUG